rnacentral:rRNA from 1 species
AUUGAAGAGGUGUUUGGUUUCUGAGCGCUGCUGGCCUUUACGGUCUAGCUCGUUCGUAAUGCAUUAGCAUCCGCAAUCGAACUUCGGAUUGACUUGGCGUAAUAGACUAUUCGCUGAGGAAUUCUAGUCUUCGGAUUAGAGCCGGGUUGGGUUAAAGGAAGCUUCUAAUCAGAAUGUCUACAUUUUAAGAUUAGAUCUCAAAUCAGGUAGGACUACCCGCUGAACUUAAGCAUAUCAAUAAGCGGAGGAAAAGAAACUAACAAGGAUUCCCCUAGUAGCGGCGAGCGAAGCGGGAAGAGCUCAAAUUUAUAAUCUGGCACCUUCGGUGUCCGAGUUGUAAUCUCUAGAAAUGUUUUCCGCGUUGGACCGCACACAAGUCUGUUGGAAUACAGCGGCAUAGUGGUGAGACCCCCGUAUAUGGUGCGGACGCCCAGCGCUUUGUGAUACAUUUUCGAAGAGUCGAGUUGUUUGGGAAUGCAGCUCAAAUUGGGUGGUAAAUUCCAUCUAAAGCUAAAUAUUGGCGAGAGACCGAUAGCGAACAAGUACCGUGAGGGAAAGAUGAAAAGCACUUUGGAAAGAGAGUUAACAGUACGUGAAAUUGUUGGAAGGGAAACGCUUGAAGUCAGACUUGCUUGCUGAGCAAUCGGUUUGCAGGCCAGCAUCAGUUUUCCGGGAUGGAUAAUGGUAGAGAGAAGGUAGCAGUUUCGGCUGUGUUAUAGCUCUCUGCUGGAUACAUCUUGGGGGACUGAGGAACGCAGUGUGCCUUUGGCGGGGGUUUC